rnacentral:rRNA from 1 species
GGGGAAUAUUGGUCAAUGGGGGAAACCCUGAACCAGCAAUGCCGCGUGAAGGAAGAAGGUUUUCGGAUUGUAAACUUCUUUUAUGAGGGACGAAGAAGUGACGGUACCUCAUGAAUAAGCCACGGCUAACUACGUGCCAGCAGCCGCGGUAAUACGUAGGUGGCAAGCGUUGUCCGGAUUUACUGGGUGUAAAGGGCGCGUAGGCGGGAAUAUAAGUCAGGUGUGAAAUCUAUGGGCUCAACCCAUAAACUGCACUUGAAACUGUAUUUCUUGAGUGAUGGAGAGGCAGGCGGAAUUCCUAGUGUAGCGGUGAAAUGCGUAGAUAUUAGGAGGAACACCAGUGGCGAAGGCGGCCUGCUGGACAUUAACUGACGCUGAGGCGCGAAAGCGUGGGGAGCAAAC